GAAUUAGCUUAGAAUAGAAAUUCCAUGUUUGCCAAAGUGAUGUAUAUAGUGGGGGCAGUAAAACUAAUAUACCCUCCAUCUCUGAAGAUGGCAGACUUUGCGAUGAGAGUUAGUUAUCCAACUUCUCUAACCUGACCGUGUUAACAAGUGUUACAAUAACCUGUAUUAUUUAGGUAGUAUAUAUAUAGUCCUCGUCAGAUUUCUUUGGGUUCUGCUUUAACAAAAAAAAUCUUAAGUUUCUCAGGCGGGUUUAGCUUUCGAAAAGGGGAAUAACUCAUGUUCAAAAAAUGAAGAAAAAAAAAUUAUUCCCAUCUCAGAUAAUGAACUGCAGCAUUGAAUAGACAUUGCACUGCCUGAGAAACUAAACGAAAGGUUUCUUUGGCCUUAAUGUCUCCUCAAGAGUGGCUCAUCUGUGUUCUCUCCCUAAUGUUUCACUUUUUAAAGAUUGGAAUAUAUUUUUAUUUUAUUCUGAAUUAAUUCUUUUUAUGUAUACCUUUUUCAUUUUCAUGUUUUUACUGGCAUGUUCCUUUUGUUGUCUGUUCCUAUGAUGUUUUAUUUUUAAAAGUUUGUGAGAUCUGUAAUUUUAAAAUCUGUAACUGACAUGUUGUAACUCUUAUUUUUCUAGUCUUGUAUAAAGCAUUUAUCCAUGCAUAUAUGAUCGUUGACUGAAAAUACCACUAUUUGUUGUAUUAAAUAAGAAUUUCUCACAAAUUCAUUUUUUUCUCUCUAAAUUUGUUGAUUUGUUCAGAGAUUUUCUGUCAUACUUAAUUCAGAAUAAUGUGUUUUAUUUUGUAAUUCUUUGACUUAAUUUGUCCAUGCAUACUGAGCUGUGGUAUUAUUUGAGGCGAUGUUUUGAUUUUUUGUUUGUGUGUAUGAGGACACUGGGUCACCUGUAUCAUGUGACAGCUGUUCCGUGUGACCGUCACUGACCAGACCCCAGGGAUCAUCCAGAAGCAGAUAUAUAGGAAUGUUUUAUUUUCCUAGCUUAUUUCUCAGACAUCUAUUGUAUUCAUAAAAUAAAGUAUUGUUUACAUGUAAAAAGAGAUGUAUAUUUAUUUACAAGUUCAAAUUAAACUCUUUCUACCAGAUU
rnacentral:misc_RNA from 1 species